GAACCGUGCGAACGUUAUUCGGAAUCACUGGGCUUAAAGCGCGUGUAGGCGGGCCAGCACGUCGGGCGCUGAAAUCCCCCGGCUCAACCGGGGAACGGGCACCGAUACGACUGGCCUGGAGGGGAGUAGGGGGACCUGGAACUUCCGGUGGAGCGGUGAAAUGCGUUGAGAUCGGAAGGAACGCCCGUGGCGAAAGCGAGGUCCUGGGCUCUUACUGACGCUGAGACGCGAAAGCCAGGGGAGCGAACGGGAUUAGAUACCCCGGUAGUCCUGGCCGUAAACGAUGGGCACUGGGUAGGGGGCUCGCCGAUGGGCUCCCUGCCGUAGGGAAACCGUGAAGUGCCCCGCCUGGGGAGUAUGGUCGCAAGGCUG
rnacentral:rRNA from 1 species